rnacentral:rRNA from 1 species
GACGAACGCUGGCGGCGUGCUUAACACAUGCAAGUCGAACGGAAAGGCCCUGCUUUUGUGGGGUGCUCGAGUGGCGAACGGGUGAGUAACACGUGAGUAACCUGCCCUUGACUUUGGGAUAACUUCAGGAAACUGGGGCUAAUACCGGAUAGGAGCUCCUGCUGCAUGGUGAGGGUUGGAAAGUUUCGGCGGUUGGGGAUGGACUCGCGGCUUAUCAGCUUGUUGGUGGGGUAGUGGCUUACCAAGGCUUUGACGGGUAGCCGGCCUGAGAGGGUGACCGGCCACAUUGGGACUGAGAUACGGCCCAGACUCCUACGGGAGGCAGCAGUGGGGAAUAUUGCACAAUGGGCGGAAGCCUGAUGCAGCAACGCCGCGUGCGGGAUGACGGCCUUCGGGUUGUAAACCGCUUUCGCCUGUGACGAAGCGUGAGUGACGGUAAUGGGUAAAGAAGCACCGGCUAACUACGUGCCAGCAGCCGCGGUGAUACGUAGGGUGCGAGCGUUGUCCGGAUUUAUUGGGCGUAAAGGGCUCGUAGGUGGUUGAUCGCGUCGGAAGUGUAAUCUUGGGGCUUAACCCUGAGCGUGCUUUCGAUACGGGUUGACUUGAGGAAGGUAGGGGAGAAUGGAAUUCCUGGUGGAGCGGUGGAAUGCGCAGAUAUCAGGAGGAACACCAGUGGCGAAGGCGGUUCUCUGGGCCUUUCCUGACGCUGAGGAGCGAAAGCGUGGGGAGCGAACAGGCUUAGAUACCCUGGUAGUCCACGCUGUAAACGGUGGGUACUAGGUGUGGGGUCCAUUCCACGGGUUCCGUGCCGUAGCUAACGCUUUAAGUACCCCGCCUGGGGAGUACGGCCGCAAGGCUAAAACUCAAAGGAAUUGACGGGGCCCCGCACAAGCGGCGGAGCAUGCGGAUUAAUUCGAUGCAACGCGUAGAACCUUACCUGGGUUUGACAUGGAUCGGGAGUGCUCAGAGAUGGGUGUGCCUCUUUUGGGGUCGGUUCACAGGUGGUGCAUGGCUGUCGUCAGCUCGUGUCGUGAGAUGUUGGGUUAAGUCCCGCAACGAGCGCAACCCUUGUUCACUGUUGCCAGCACGUUAUGGUGGGGACUCAGUGGAGACCGCCGGGGUCAACUCGGAGGAAGGUGGGGAUGACGUCAAGUCAUCAUGCCCCUUAUGUCCAGGGCUUCACGCAUGCUACAAUGGCUGGUACAGAGAGUGGCGAGCCUGUGAGGGUGAGCGAAUCUCGGAAAGCCGGUCUCAGUUCGGAUUGGGGUCUGCAACUCGACCUCAUGAAGUCGGAGUCGCUAGUAAUCGCAGAUCAGCAACGCUGCGGUGAAUACGUUCCCGGG